rnacentral:rRNA from 1 species
GACGAACGCUGGCGGCGUGCCUAUACAUGCAAGUCGAGCGAAGUUUUUCUGGUGCUUGCACUAGAAAAACUUAGCGGCGAACGGGUGAGUAACACGUAAAGAACCUGCCUUAUAGACUGGGACAACUAUUGGAAACGAUAGCUAAUACCGGAUAACAGCAUUAACUGCAUGGUUGAUGUUUGAAAGUUGGUUUUGCUAACACUAUGAGAUGGCUUUGCGGUGCACUAGCUAGUUGGUGGGGUAAAGGCCUACCAAGGCGACGAUGCAUAGCCGACCUGAGAGGGUGAUCGGCCACACUGGGACUGAGACACGGCCCAGACUCCUACGGGAGGCAGCAGUAGGGAAUCUUCCGCAAUGGGCGAAAGCCUGACGGAGCAACGCCGCGUGAGUGAAGAAGGAUUUCGGUUCGUAAAGCUCUGUUGUUAGGGAAGAAUGAUUGUGUAGUAACUAUACACAGUAGAGACGGUACCUAACCAGAAAGCCACGGCUAACUACGUGCCAGCAGCCGCGGUAAUACGUAGGUGGCAAGCGUUGUCCGGAAUUAUUGGGCGUAAAGCGCGCGCAGGUGGUUUAAUAAGUCUGAUGUGAAAGCCCACGGCUCAACCGUGGAGGGUCAUUGGAAACUGUUAAACUUGAGUGCAGGAGAGAAAAGUGGAAUUCCUAGUGUAGCGGUGAAAUGCGUAGAGAUUAGGAGGAACACCAGUGGCGAAGGCGGCUUUUUGGCCUGUAACUGACACUGAAGCGCGAAAGCGUGGGGAGCAAACAGG